rnacentral:rRNA from 1 species
AGAGUUUGAUCCUGGCUUAGAACGAACGCUGGCGGCAGGCUUAACACAUGCAAGUUGAACGGGAUUAAUUGAUAGCUUGCUAUUGAUUAUGAGAGUAGCGCACUGGUGAGUAACACGUGGGAACGUACCUAUUGGUGGGGGACAACAGUUGGAAACGACUGCUAAUACCGCAUAAGCCCUGAGGGGGAAAGAUUUAUUGCCGAUAGAUCGGCCCGCGGAAGAUUAGGUAGUAGGUGGGGUAACGGCCUACCUAGCCGACGAUCUAUAGCUGGUCUAAGAGGACGAUCAGCCACAUUGGAACUGAGACACGGUCCAGACUCCUACGGGAGGCAGCAGUGAGGAAUAUUGGGCAAUGGAGGCAACUCUGACCCAGCCAUGCCCGCGUGAGUGAAGAAGGUUUUCGGAUUGUAAAGCUCUUUCAGAUGAGAAGAUGAUGACGGUAUCAUCAGAAGAAGCACCGGCUAACUUCGUGCCAGCCGCCGC